UGAGUACGAGAUGCUACGGCGUCGAAGCAGUCUAGGUCAUACUUCCAAGAAAAGCUUGCACUGUCAUAAACAAAGAAUGCCUGUACCAUAACCGACACAGGUGGGUAGGUAGAGUAUACUAAGGGGCGCGAGAUAACUCUCUCUAAGGAACUCGGCAAAAUGACUCCGUAACUUCGGGAGAAGGAGUGCCUUAUUUUUAAGGUUGCAAUAACAAGAUCCAAGCAACUGUUUACCAAAAACACAGGUCUCCGCUAAGUCGUAAGACGAUGUAUGGGGGCUGACGCCUGCCCAGUGCCAGAAGGUUAAAGAAGUUGGUUAGCAUUUGCGAAGCUGAUAACUGAAGCCCUGGUGAACGGCGGCCGUAACGAUAACGGUCCUAAGGUAGCGAAAUUCCUUGUCGGGUAAGUUCCGACCCGCACGAAAGGCGUAAUGAUUUGGAUACUGUCUCGGAGAGGGGCUCGGUGAAAUAGACUUGUCUGUGAAGAUGCGGACUACCUGCACCUGGACAGAAAGACCCUAUGAAGCUUUACUGUAACUUGAGAUUGAAAUUGGACUUUAUUUGCGCAGUAUAGGUGGGAGGCGUUGAGAAUAAUCUUGCGGGAUUAUCGGAGCCAUCAGUGAGAUACCACUCUUGUAAUGUUAGAUUUCUAACUUUGUAUCAUUAUCUGGUCAAAGAACAGUUUCAGGCGGGCAGUUUGACUGGGGCGGUCGCCUCCCAAAGGGUAACGGAGGCGCACAAAGGUUUCCUCUGAACGGGUAGAAAUCGUAUCUAGAGUGUAAAGGCAUAAGGAAGCUUGACUGUGAGACCUACAAGUCGAGCAGGGACGAAAGUCGGUCUUAGUGAUCUGACGGUGCUGAGUGGAAAGGCCGUCACUCAACGGAUAAAAGUUACUCUAGGAUAACAGGCUGAUCUCCCCCAAGAGUUCACAUCGACGGGGAGGUUUGGCACCUCGAUGUCGGCUCAUCGCAUCCUGGGGCGGUAGUACGUCCCAAGGGUUGGGCUGUUCGCCCAUGAAAGCGGUACGCGAGCUGGGUUCAGAACGUCGUGAGACAGUUCGGUCCAUAUCCGGUGUAGGCGUUAGAAUAUUGAAAGGAGCCUUCUCUAGUACGAGAGGACCGAGAAGGACAUACCUCUGGUGUGCCAGUUAUCGUGCCAACGGUAAACGCUGGGUAGCUAUGUAUGGAGUGGAUAACCGCUGAAAGCAUCUAAGUGGGAAGCCCACCUUAGGAUAAGUA
rnacentral:rRNA from 1 species